UUACAUUGGAAAAUGCUGAAAGGCACGACACUUAUUGUCGUGAAAAUCCCGCGAGUGACUUGUCAUCCUGAUGGGGCCACUCCCUUAAAUCCAUCUUUAGACAAAAUGCCCAAAUUAACCCUAAAUUGUUUGCCGGAAAUACUCCUCUGCGUCCCUUCACCAUUCUUCCUUACCUUCAACUACGCCAUCUUCAUCGUUCCAUAAUUGUGAGGAUCAAAUCGAAAUCGAAAAUUGAAACCAACAGAUGUUGAGGAUCAAACCAAAGAUUUCUGCAGAAGAGCAGAUGCUGAUGACGAACAUACGCACAUUGGAAAAGGACAUCGAUUCAGGUGAUGGAGUGCGUCUACAAGCCACUUGCUGCAAAACUCAUUGUUGGCACUUGGCAUUAUAAGCUAAAUUGAACUUGGUGUGUUGGAUUAAGUGUUUGAUUAGAUUAUGUGAAACUGGUUUUUAUAGGAUCUUGUUAAAAGUGCUUGUGUAGCUUAGUUGGUUGAUUGAGAGUUAUUGUUCUUGGUUGGUUUUUUCCAAGUGUGUGUUUGUAUUAUGUUUUGUUACUCUUGCUGUAUUAUGCAGGUUCUGUUUGUUGCCUUGCCUUUAUACUUAAGUAGGGUGAUUGUGUGAAAGACUGAAAGGGAAACAAUGGAGAUUAGAGAUAGAGAUAAAAAGAACAAUAUCACAGGCGCAAAAUUUUCUCUUCAAUAUUUUAUUUUAUUUUAAUAUUAAUAAAGGAUAGCCUGGCUAUAAUAGCCAUAAGAAAAAAGAAACUGGUGGCAAUACACGUGUUCGUGCAAUUUCGUGGGGGUGCUUGUCGCACCAUAUAGCACAGCUC